UUAACAGGGAUCUUCUUUAUUAUUUUAAUUUCUAUAAAUUUAUUUAUAAGUAAAAAAGCUUAUAUUAACAAGGGGGACGACAAGACCCUGUUGAACUUUACAGAUUUGUUUAGCUGGGGCGGCAUAAAACUAAAUCUUUCAUCCAACUUUUACAACAUCCUUUAUUAUGAUAAGCAAGUUACCACAGGGAUAACAGCAUAAUUUCUUUCUAAAGACCUUAUCAAAAAAGAAGUUUGUGACCUCGAUGUUGAAUUAAUAUUCUAUAUGAAGCAGCAUUCAUACAAGAAAGUCUGUUCGACUUUUAAAAAAUUACGUGAUCUGAGUUCAGACCGGACC
rnacentral:rRNA from 1 species